CGCUGAGGGCGCGCGUGCUGGGCGCGCGCUUGCCGGCGGUGACGGGUGCUGAGGGAGCUACGCGGCACCUACGGCUGCUGAGCGUCUGACGCCUGGAGAGCGGGGUCGAGUCUCUUGCUACUAAGGUCCAGUUACCAUGAUGCCAUCAAUGUAACUGACCAAAAUGAAUUUCUGUGGAAUAGAGAUGAUCUGGGAACCUGUAAUAGGGCUGCAGAGUUGAUGUAUCCAUAAGAAAAUCUAUUUCUAUCAGUGGCCCAUGGCAGCAAGACGGUGGUGCAGAUUUCCAAGAAGAGGAAGUUUGUUGCCAAUGGCAUCUUUAAAACUGAACUGAACGAGUUUCUCACUCAGGAGCUGACUGAAGAUGGCUACUCUGGGACUGAGGUCUGAAUUACACCGACCAGGACAAAAAUCAUUAUCUUGGCCACCAGAACACAGAAUGUUCUUGGUGAGAAGGGCCAGCAGAUAUGGGAAUUGACCAUUGUGGUUCAGAAGAGGUUUGAUUUCUCUGAGGACAGUGUAGAACUUUAAACUGAAAAGGUGGCCACAAGAGGUCUGUGUGCUAUUACUAGGGCAGAGUCUCUCCAAUACAAACUCCUAGGAGGACUUGCUGUGCAGAGCGUUUGCUAUAGUGUGCUGCGGUUCAUCAUGAAGGGUGGAGCCAAAGGCUGUGAGAUCUUGGUGUCUGGGAAACUCCUAAAUCCAUGAUGUUUAUGCAUGGCCUGAUGAUUCACAGUGGGGACCCUAUUAACUACUAUGUUGAUACUGCUGAGGCAUCAAAGUGAAGAUCAUGCUUCCUGGGGACUCACGUGGUAAGAUUGGCCCUAAGAAGCCCCUGCUUGGUCAUGUGAGCAUUGUGGAACCCAAAGAUGAGAUAUUGCCUACCACCCCCAUCUUGGAAGAGAAGGGUGGGAAUCCAGGGUGGUCUGCCAUGCUGCAGCCAGUACCCACAGGAUAACAGGGUCUCCUUGGCAGCUGGAUCUGGAGUCUGGAUUUUGCCAUGUAAAGACCUUUAAUAAAAUCUUUGAAGAAAAAAAAAGACAAUCUAUUUCUAGGAAUUUCUCUUAUAGAAACUUGAAUGCUAGCUUUUGGAGUGUCUUUUCCCUUUUAGAUAAUUCAGCAUAAUUCCUCCCAAUGAAUCUAGGAGAAUGGAAUGUUUGGUUCUCUAACCUCAGAAGUAAAACAAUCCUUAGUAUGGUUCAUGUUUGAAACAGAAUGGAAAUUAAGUUCCUGAAGUGGAGCUGGUCAAUUAAGUUGCUAGGCUUUUAACUGGAGGAAUAACAGGUCUGAAGGCCAGUGGGGAGUAUUAAGGAUUCGAUGCCACCUCUGGAUCUUGAGAAAAUGAGGUGUGGGAGGCUGAGUGGCCUCCAGUUGAGAGGGCUGCAGGGUAACUUUCCAUUUUAGACAAGGAAGUGCAUGAAUGGUCAUUGAAAAGGAAGAGGGUUUACUAAGAAGGUUGUAAAAUUUGGGAAUUUAAGUUUCUGCAGCACUGUAGAACGGUUUGAGGGGGCACAUAGCAGUGGUAGUUUGGUUCAGGGGACUAGAGAUUCUUAGAGAUUGGAGGAGUUUACAUUUUUAGCAGGGAUAAGGAACACAGAAAGAUGAGGUUGCAAUAUAAUUUGUACAACUACUGUUAUGGUGGAAUGUCCUGGGACAUUAGAAGUAGUCCAGCUUUUGGGGAAUUUAACUAGCCAAUCCUUCUUAGCCCUGAGCAUUUGCACAUGACCUUUCCUUGGUCUGGAACACUUCUGUCUCCUUUUCUCCCUUUCUCAGGUCAGUUCAGACUAUGUUUGGCUCUAUCACUUUCUCUAGGAAGCCUUCCCUGAGUGCCUUCUCUCCUCUUAGCAUGUGUACUCUUUCUCUGGUAGCCUGUCUCACAAUAUACAGCAAUUGUCUUACCUGUUUGUAUCCUUAUCUGUACCCUAAGUUCUGGAAGGGAAGAGAACUAUCUUGCAGGCCGUCCAGCCUCCAUGUAAUCAUUCCAAAAUUAUACUACUUUGUAGUAAAUAUUUACUAUUUUGUCAAAUUUAAUAUUAUAAAAUUCAAUUCCAGUUCACAAAAUAAUCUAAGACGUUUCUUUAAAGAGUAAGCUUCACUAAGGCAUUAUAUGAUUUGAUUCCUACGCAUUCAUUUUCCCAUGUUACAAACACUGCCACUCCAUGUUUAUGUGUGGAAUAAACUAAUGAACUGAAUCAACUUCA